GCGGCUGAACUAGAACUCCCAUCACAUCUGGCCGUUGGCCGGGCUUGUUCUGGAUGAUGGGAGUUGUAGUUCAUCAACACCCUAGUGGGCCAAAUAUUCCCCACACCUGCUCUAAAUAAAACACCUGUAUAUAGAUGGAGAUUGUGUCAGGGAGAACCAUUCCCCUUGGCACUUACUUUUAGGGUAAUUUUAUUAUUGUGCGUUAUUUAUUUAUGGUUUUGUUUGUGGCAUUUAUAUUCCAUCUUUUCCUUCACCGAGCUAGCGGUGCAAAUAAUUCUCCCCUCUUCAUUUUAUCCUCACAACAACGCUGUGGGUGGGGUAGGUCACGCUGAGAGGCAGUGACUGGUUCAAGACCAGCUUGUGAGCUUCGUAGCCAACUGAGGAUUUGAACCCAGGACUCCCAGAUCCUAGACUUGGGCACAGCCCUUAGUGCAAACUCGGCCCAAGAGUGAAAUAAGUCGAAAGGUGCAGUAGAUCUACCAAGGCAAGUUCCAUGUAUUCUGCCUUAAUUAGUUUGAUGACAGCAUUUUUUCAAAGAAUGUGUUUGUCGGAUAAUUGUCCUUGAAUUAACAAACCGAAGGUCCUAACUGUGGCUCCGAAGCCCAUGGUCUCAUCCCUGCCUCCCUGCUUCCCACCGAACCUGCUACAUACUAAAUAAACGCGGCCGCAGGAUUCUGCUCAUCUCAGCCGAAGCCCUGCCUUUCCGGUCUUGCGUUCCUCAUUGUUUAUUUCAAAUUGUAAACUCCGUGGAGGCAGGGACCUGUCCAUUUUUAUUUUAUUUUUUUGCUUAUCGGUAUGUAAAGAGCCCUGCACUGUAGCAAUGGUAACAACAUUUUUUCUCAGGUCUGUAGGACGAAAUUAUGCGUGAUCUAGAAAGGUGCCGGAAAUGGAGGUUUGCAGGAAGCCAACGCUGCAAUUUCCAAGGGCAGCGAACUACUCUAGAUAAGAAAGGUGGAUGGAAAGAUCACUGCACAGUCGGGUGGUAUGAAGGGAAAUGAGGUUAUUCCCCGCGGUCUAAUAAUAAAUAAAGGUUAGAUUCUGGCUAGGUAUAAUGCAGAGCGUUGACACACAGGUAGUGUACUGUGAAUUCUUGGGGACACGCAGCUCUUAGGCUCUCGGCUGAAAUAUGAGGACUGUGGUACUGGCCUGCCUUGCGGUUUUGUUGUAAAAAUGUGUACGGGACGCGCUUUGAAUACAUACAAAAACACUACAGUAUUAGACAUGUUCAAUAUUAGCCUGAUCCUUCAAUAACCCUUUAAAAGGCCACUAGAUAUAGAAACAACCCAAAGUAGAAAAUCACAUUUGAAAAUCGGAAUAUUUGGGGGGGGGGGGUUGGGAUCCUGAAAAAAUGACGUUCAGAGCAAUCCUUGACAUGUUUACUCAGAUAUAUAAGCCCACCCCCCAGCGUUCUAUGGGCUUUUCUUCCAGAAAAGCAUGCAUAGGAUCGCAGCCUAUCGGUGCUGCUGUAUGCUUACGAGGAAGUUGGUCUCCCUGAGGCCAUUAGUUCUUCCUCGCAGGGUUUCAGCGCAGGUUUGUCCGAGCUGGUUUGCCCUCCGCUCCUCCGCUCCUAAUUUGAAAGAGGCGUUUGGGGACCCAAACCCUUCUCUCCAGGUUUCCGAAUGCGCCUAACAUGCGUCCGACCACCACAUCUUUUUCGAAUGACCCACCUGGGAGGGUGAAGCGCAGCGACAGAGUGGAGCUUCUCCCUGUCCCCCUUCCCAACAUUUCUGAAUGGAGCCACUAACCCACCUUUCCGAAGUACUGGGUUCAGUGAGACUUGCUUCCCCUUCCAACCAGUGGGUUAAGGACCCCGCCUAAACCAGUUUUUUAAUCUGGCAGUGGGUGGCAUUUGGAGUUUUGAAUGCACCAGCAAAAGCUGAACUGAACACCGAGUCCCGUUUGGAGAAGCGCACUUUACCUUGAGAUGCGGGCUCAGAGAGACGCCGAAUUGGGAAAGUAAUAAAGCUACAUUUGGUAAAGGAAGUUUGAUGGGAACGUUCAUCGCUCUAAUCUGAGGUGGCGAUGCACAAAGAGCCAUGCUUGCUCUUUGUUCUCAGCGGGAGAGGCCUACAAAGAUGUCUCCUCUCCCAAGCUGAGGAUGAAGGAGCAGGAAAUUAGGUCAGCAACGCUAAGAGUUUCCCUCCAGCAGCUGAAGGAAUGUCAGCACAGGUCGAAGGACAGUCUAGGAUGCUUGCAGAUUCUUCUAUCUACUCUACUCUUUCCCAUGCAAAGCCAACAACCUAUAGGCAAGCUGUGUUGCAUCUCAAUACUUUCUGCAGUAGCUGGGCUUAACAGGGUUGUGGGUGGGGUUUUAAGUUGCAGCUUUCUAUAUGUUAUUACUUGGGAGUAGACUUCAACUGAAAUCUGUAGAGCUAAUUUCUGAAUUUCUGACCGCAGUCAUUAUGGCCACUUACCUGGGAACAAGACCCAUUUUGUCUACUUUGGGACGAAUUGCCUUGGAAUAAGAAGUGUGGAGGUGGUGGUGAAAUGAUGAGCCAAUUCAAAUUUCACCACAGCUGCUGACUGGGUAGGUGGCCUUUGUUAGGCUUUUUAGGGCACUGGAUGCAUAGCAAAUAGAACAAUCUGUUCUGGAUGACUACAAAAGGAAAGCAGAUUUUGUGGUUGAUUCCUGAAAUCCAGAUCAGAAUCCCUCAGGAUAGGUGGGAAACUGUGGAACAGAGGCAGAUAAAAUCCAGAUCACAAUAUUUGUUAACCUUAGCAUUGCACACUGACAAUAAUUCUAGGUUGGCUUGGUGUGGGGCAAGUAAGAUUCUCCCAGAUACUAAGAAGAAUUCCUCUAGUAUGAAUAAGACUAAAAGCUUGUUUUGCUUCUUAUAUCCCUCCUGCUGUGGGGCAGAGGCUGUAGUAGGCAACACAAACCAUUUCAUAAUAAAAUAAUAAAAAUAAACAAUGCUAUCAGCUAUUAUUACUGGAAAACACUGCAGUGAGAAACAUGGGCAAUGCCGCUACUACAAGGACACUAAUGUUGUGGCAGAUUUUUAGUAAUUUUUAGUAGCAGUACAGCAAUGGUCUACAGCUUCCCCUGUACCUGCAAAGGUGUUUUCCCAGCUUUUAAUGUUACUAUUUCUAUUGUAGCGGUUUCCUCAUAGAUUUACCUGCUGCAUGGAACUGCAUUCUUGAAGUUGCAAACACAGGAGAAAACGUUUUCUGGGUGUUAGUGAUUCAUUAUAAUAGAAGUAAAUGUAAUAAUAUUGGGAAGCCUUUUAUAUUCAGUUUGUGACUUUAAUAAUAGACAUGUGGUUAUUUUUGUUUGCUAAAACCAAAAUGAUACAGACAUUGGAAAAAAAUAACAAUAAUCUUAUAUGGUGUUUUUUUAAAAAAACAACAACACCAGGUUUAAGUUCUUUGUUAAAUGAACUCUUUCCCAUUAUUUAUUUGUAACUGGUGGAAUCCCGCUGGGUGAGUGAGAAGAGGCGAGCCCAAACACUUGGCCUUGAUUAGAGAUGUCCUCUCUUUUCUCCCUCAGCUAGGGCUGGCUUUCCCUAGAACUGUGUUUGGUCUUCCACUGUCAUACUGUAAGCACACGAAUCCGAGUGAGGAAUCUUAGAUCGGGUGGGUGGCGGGGGCGAAGGAGAGAAACCAGUCGGACUAGAAGAGAUCCAUUCUCCGGAGGCCCCUUUUAGUUCUGCACACCUUGCCUGCAGCGCGCACCUUGUCUACUUUGAAAAGAUUUCCUCUUGUCUUUUUAUUCUCGGCAGAGGCUGCUUCCAAAUGUAGUUUCUCUGCCUUCAGUGCAACAGCUCGAGCAGUAGGCAGGUUGCAAGAAACCCGAGUUCUGAAUAUUAAUAGCCGCGCGUAGGUGAGCGACUUGGGAAGAGGAGAGAGGGAAGGGAAUGAGAAAGAGAGAGAGAGAGAGAGAGAGAGACUUUCUUAGUUUGCGUUGCACAAACCAGCACAAUGGUGUGUGCUUUAUCGAACAGGUUUCUGUCGGUUAGCUUCACCCGGACCAAACGC